AACAUUUUUGUAUCAUCUGCCUAGUCGAAUUUCCAUAAAGGAAGAGAUUUCAUUCUAUCUUGAGACCUUGAGGCAGUCAGUUCUCUCUCUCUCUCGCUCUCUCUCUCUCUCUCUCUCUCACUCGACAUCGAGAUUAUAUUAACGUAACGUAAAUUUGGUCACUCGUAACUUGUGAGAAUUUAAUAUUUGAUAUUUCUUAGAGUUUAUUUAGUAUUAUUUAGUUUCUUUUGUGGAAUCUGAACAAACAUUUCGUAACGGCGCCUGGUUUUUUGUGAGUGUGAAUCAAGACUGCAGCAAAUUAAGAAGUUGGUAUACCAAAAAGGCACAAUGUUACACUCGAAUAAAAGCACGAGCCCACAUCCUAAAGAGCCUUGGUAAUGAGGGCUGCUUUCGUCUCACCGUAGUCCUUAUAGGAGUCAAAACCGGUCAUAUAUUAACUUCCUGGCCAGACUGAUGAUGUGUCAGGAUGACACGAAACGUAUCUCAUAAUAAACUCCUUAAUUGAUCUAUUGAGUUUCGGUAACCCUCUGAUGUCUACAUGUUCGCACCUUUUGAUGUCCACACACCUCCGAGAUGUUCCGUCUGUUGUUUGCCUUCCUGUUUAUCUUCAAGCUCCGCCUACGUAGGAUUCAAAAUUUUGCCCAGAUCUUGAACAACCGUUAUCCCUUGGAGAUACUUCAACUUUCGAGGAAUCUUGAGAAAACUACACUAAAACUUGAGAAGUCCAGAUGUGAUGUCGAGUUCCUGCAGUAUUGUCAGAUCAACGGAGUGUACCCCAGAUUCCUUCGCUUCAAACUAUACAAGACUGCCCUUUACAACACCGAAUUCUACCAAAAUGCAUUGGAGGAGCUUCUAUCCAAAGAAAUCGAUCUUAAAUUGCGUACUGUUGAAAAAUUAAAUGCUGACUGUCACAAUCUACAAACUGCGUUAUUUAAUAAUAUGUCAUUUUUAGAUAAGAUUUUGUACAAAAAGUUAUUUUGUGAAUUUAUCAACAACUUUAUCAGCAAUGUACAUGCCCGCCACCAAAGAAAACUUGAAGCACUGGGUGUUCAUAUUCCUAAUUUUAGCUCUAGAAAUAAUUGUAUUUUUAAUAUGUCCAGCUAUAUUUUAUCAAAAAGGGAAGAAUUUAUUCUGUCUUUUGGUCUGGACUUCUGCCUUCCGUCCUAUAGACCAGGUUUUGCUCAUUUUUAUUUUCCGUUCGAGGUCUUGUUUCAGAGACUCAAGGGUCUUAACUUAACUGACAAUUUGAGUAACUUGCAACAGAGAAUGUCAACUGCUUUGCAUGACACAUAUAAGAGCGCUAAGGUAAAGUGGACACCUUUUUUUCAAAAGAGAGGAUAUGAAAAUACUUAAGUCCUUGAAAGAGCAAGAAGAUAUUAUAAUAUGCAGACCUGAUAAAGGCAAAGGUGUGGUUAUCCUCAAUAAACAAGACUACGUAAACAAGGUUAUAACAAUACUUUCUGAUACUUCUAAAUUUAAAUAUUU